UACGAAGGGGGCUAGCGUUGUUCGGAUUUACUGGGCGUAAAGCGCACGUAGGCGGAUUGGUCAGUUAGGGGUGAAAUCCUGGAGCUCAACUCCAGAACUGCCUUUAAUACUGCCAGUCUCGAGUCCGGAAGAGGUAAGUGGAACUCCUGUGUAGAGGUGGAAUUCGUAGAUAUUAGGAAGAACACCAGUGGCGAAGGCGGCUUACUGGUCCGGUACUGACGCUGAGGUGCGAAAGCGUGGGGAGCAAACAGG
rnacentral:rRNA from 1 species